ACCUUUCUGGCCUAACCAUUCAAACGACAUGCAAUCCUAGCCUGCACACAUAGUUAUUUAAUCAAGAGCUGCUGUAGAGGAUUUUUGAACUGUCACAAGAUGGAUGAGCUAAGUGAUUACUUAAGGUCACGGCAUGUGCCUGAGGAAGACGUUCAGCGAAUGGAACAAGAUAAGAUUGAUGCCAGUGUCAUACACCUCAUGAGAGAUGACCAGCUAAAAGAGUAUCUUCCAUCCUAUGGUGAUUGACUGGCUGUUUUUGGA